rnacentral:rRNA from 1 species
GACGAACCGUGCGAACGUUAUUCGGAUUCACUGGGCGUAAAGGGCGCGUAGGCGGACGAGCAAGUCCGGGGUGAAAUCUUUCGGCUUAACCGGAAAAGUGCCUUGGAUACUGCUCGCCUUGAGUGAGGUAGGGGCAUGUGGAACUUCCGGUGGAGCGGUGAAAUGCGUUGAUAUCAGGAGGAACACCGGUGGCGAAGGCGGGUCUCUGGGCCGUAACUGACGCUGAGGAGCGAAAGCGUGGGGAGCGAACAGG